rnacentral:rRNA from 1 species
UACGUAGGGUGCAAGCGUUUAAUCGGAAUUACUGGGCGUAAAGCGUGCGCAGGCGGUUUUGUAAGUCUGUCGUGAAAUCCCCGGGCUCAACCUGGGAAUUGCGAUGGAGACUGCAAGGCUAGAAUCUGGCAGAGGGGGGUAGAAUUCCACGUGUAGCAGUGAAAUGCGUAGAGAUGUGGAGGAACACCGAUGGCGAAGGCAGCCCCCUGGGUCAAGAUUGACGCUCAUGCACGAAAGGCGUGGGGAGCAAACAGGAUUAG